rnacentral:misc_RNA from 1 species
GAACGCAUCUUGCGCUCCUUGGUAUUCCGAAGGGCAUGCCUGUUUGAGUGUCAUGAAACCUCACCCCACUUGGGUUUUUGCCCGAGCGGUGGUGGAUUGGGCGUCUGCCGUUAAUGGCUCGCCUGAAAAGCAUAAGCAACUUUGGAUGUAAUACGUUUCAUCCUUUCGAGUGGCUGACAACCCCACAUAUUUCAUGAUCUGGCCUCAAAUCAGGUAGGGCUACCCGCUGAACUUAAG